rnacentral:rRNA from 1 species
CCUACGGGAGGCAGCAGUGGGGAAUUUUGCGCAAUGGGGGAAACCCUGACGCAGCGACGCCGCGUGGAGGAUGAAAUAUCUUGGUAUGUAAACUCCUUUCGAUGGGGAAGAUAAUGACGGUACCCAUAGAAGAAGCCCCGGCUAACUUCGUGCCAGCAGCCGCGGUAAUACGAGGGGGGCAAGCGUUGUUCGGAUUUAUUGGGCGUAAAGGGUGCGUAGGCGGUUUGGCAAGUCUUGUGUGAAAUCUUCGGGCUCAACCCGAAGCCUGCACAAGAAACUGCCGGGCUUGAGUAUUGGAGAGGUGAGUGGAAUUUCCGGUGUAGCGGUGAAAUGCGUAGAUAUCGGAAGGAACACCUGUGGCGAAAGCGGCUCACUGGACAAUAACUGACGCUGAUGCACGAAAGCUAGGGGAGCAAACAGGAUUAGAUACCCUGGUAGUCCUAGCCCUAAACGAUGAUUGUUUGAUGUGGCAGGUACCCAAUCCUGCCGUGUCGAAGCUAACGCGAUAAACAAUCCGCCUGGGGAGUACGGUCGCAAGGCUGAAACUUAAAGNGAAUUGACGG